rnacentral:tRNA from 1 species
CUGCUCUACCAACUGAGCUAUCCCGGCAAUUUUUAUUUUUACUAUUUUAACAUAAAAAGGAAAAAUAUGUCAACUUUUUUAUUAAAUUUUAAUAAAAAUUUAACUGGGGGUAGAGGGACUUGAACCCUCACGGUCUUUAAAGCCAACGGAUUUUCAUUUUACUACAAUUUGCAUUGUUGUUAAAAUUAACUUGUAAAAAUGGACUCUAUCUUUAUCCUCGUCUAUUAAUAGUUUAAUAGUAAUUUAAUAAUUUUCUUAUUAUUAUUAGUUAACCUAUUAGUACAAUUUUUAAUCAUUUUUUUUUUUUUUAUAAAAAUUUCGUUAGGAUAGUUUUCUUUGAGUCUCUGCACCUAUUUUGUUUUAACAAACAAAAUUUGGCUCAGGAUCACCUAAUUUUUCUUUUUUUUUGCAACCUAGGUUUCCCUGAAUUUGAAAACAAUCAUUUAGUUAAUUUCUCAACWAAAGCUCAAU